UGCUUUGAUGUUGUCCUGGUGUCUUGAUACCAGGAGGCCAGGGAUUGCUGGAAAAGGGUCUUUUUUGUCUUCGUUCACUUCCCCUCCAGUUUCUGCAAUGAUUCUCCAGAAUCUCUGCUCAUGAAAAAGGACUUGGAUGUGAGACUAACUGGUGUCACUUCACAUUGACCUAACCAUUCCUGUGUGGUGAGGUGACAGUUCUCCUUCCCUGUAAGCUCCUCCCCGCCCCAAUGUAGAAGACAAAGCGGAGUGGACCUCUUGAAAGGUAAAAGCCUUACCUUAAGCUGCAACUUGUGUGACAUCAGCUU
rnacentral:lncRNA from 1 species